UCCGUAGGCGGGCGAUUAAGUCAGAGGUGAAAUCCCACAGCUUAACUGUGGAACUGCCUUUGAUACUGGUCGUCUUGAGUUAUAGUGAAGUAGAUAGAAUAUGUAGUGUAGCGGUGAAAUGCUUAGAUAUUACAUGGAAUACCGAUUGCGAAGGCAGUCUACUAACUAUAUACUGACGCUAAUGGACGAAAGCGUGGGGAGCGAACAGGAUUAGAUACCCUGGUAGUC
rnacentral:rRNA from 1 species